ACUCCUACGGGAGGCAGCAGUGGGGAAUUUUGGACAAUGGGCGAAAGCCUGAUCCAGCAAUGCCGCGUGAGUGAAGAAGGCCUUCGGGUUGUAAAGAUCUUUUGUCAGGGAAGAAACGGUGAAAGCUAAUAUCUUUUGCUAAUGACGGUACCUGAAGAAUAAGCACCGGCUAACUACGUGCCAGCAGCCGCGGUAAUACGUAGGGUGCAAGCGUUAAUCGGAAUUACUGGGCGUAAAGCGUGCGCAGGCGGUUUUGUAAGUCUGAUGUGAAAUCCCCGGGCUCAACCUGGGAAUUGCAUUGGAGACUGCAAGGCUAGAAUCUGGCAGAGGGGGGUAGAAUUCCACGUGUAGCAGUGAAAUGCGUAGAUAUGUGGAGGAACACCGAUGGCGAAGGCAGCCCCCUGGGUCAAGAUUGACGCUCAUGCACGAAAGCGUGGGGAGCAAACAGGAUUAGAUACCCUGGUAGUCCCAUGA
rnacentral:rRNA from 1 species